GACGAACGCUGGCGGCGUGCUUAACACAUGCAAGUCGAACGGAAAGGCCUCUUUCGGGGGGUACUCGAGUGGCGAACGGGUGAGUAACACGUGAGUAACCUGCCCUUGACUUUGGGAUAACUUCAGGAAACUGGGGCUAAUACCGGAUAGGAGCUCCUGCUGCAUGGUGGGGGUUGGAAAGUUUCGGCGGUUGGGGAUGGACUCGCGGCUUAUCAGCUUGUUGGUGGGGUAGUGGCUUACCAAGGCUUUGACGGGUAGCCGGCCUGAGAGGGUGACCGGCCACAUUGGGACUGAGAUGCGGCCCAGACUCCUACGGGAGGCAGCAGUGGGGAAUAUUGCACAAUGGGUGGAAGCCUGAUGCAGCAGCGCCGUGUGCGGGAUGACGGCCUUCGGGUUGUAAAACGCUUUCGCUCAUGACGAAGCUUUGUGUGACGGUAGUGGGUAAAGAAGCACCGGCUAACUACGUG
rnacentral:rRNA from 1 species